rnacentral:rRNA from 1 species
UACGUGAGGCAGCAACGUUGCUCGGAAUCAUUGGGCGUAAAGCGCACGUAGGCGGCCCAGCAAGCGGGGAGUGAAAGCCCUCGGCUUAACCGAGGAAGUGCUUUCCGAACUACUGGGCUUGAAUACUGGAGAGGGUCGCGGAAUUCCCGGUGUAGAGGUGAAAUUCGUAGAUAUCGGGAGGAACACCUGUGGUGUAGACGGCUUUCUGGACCGUAGCUGACGCUGAGACACGAAAAGCGUGGGUAGCAAACAGG